UUUAUAUGAGAGUUUGAUCCUGGCUCAGGAUGAACGCCGGCGGUGUGCCUAAUACAUGCAAGUCGUACGCACUGGCCCAACUGAUUGAUGGUGCUUGCACCUGAUUGACGUUGGAUCACCAGUGAGUGGCGGACGGGUGAGUAACACGUAGGUAACCUGCCCCGGAGCGGGGGAUAACAUUUGGAAACAGAUGCUAAUA
rnacentral:rRNA from 1 species